CCAUUCAAAUACAGUAUCUGUUCCUUGUUCACAGGACUACCCAGACGCCCUCAUCUCAAAUUACUAUCUUUGGCCCGCAGUCCAGAUGGCCAAUUUCUACUUCAUUCCACUUCACCACAGGAUGGCUGUGGUGCAGAUAGUUGCUGUCGCCUGGAACUCCUAUCUGACCUGGAAGGUGAACAAGAUGUGAACCACAAGUCCAGCUGUCUACAUGAUGAUGAUGAUGAUGAUGAUGAUGAUGAUGAUGAUGAUGAUGAUGAUACACUCAUUUGUAGUGUGUCUGUGUGCUUGUGCGUGUGACGUGGUCUAACUUAGUUCUGCUGAUAUUUCCAAAGUGUAAAACUGUGACUGA